CAGCACGAGGUACAUCAAGUGGCAUAUUUCGUGACUUCUUUGUUAUAGCGGUAGACAGCGAAUGCCUACUUCUGUCACGUGGUGUUGCAAAAGACGGUAAACAGCAGUGCCUUUUAUGGGGGUUAUCGAGAAAUGAAGUGGACGAGAAUACUUCAUGUUAUAGGCAGAUGGAUUUGAGCUGCACGAAAAUGUCUGAUGUUACCGAAACAUAUAACCCAUGUGAUUUUUACCGUCAUACCGAAGCUUCAGGUGAAGAGAUGUCUCUGGAUUAAAGUGUUCCUGAGAAAUCUCGUGGUUGGUUGUCGGUGUAAACACGGCGCAGGUCAAAUAAAAUACAUUUGACUUUUCACGACUACU